rnacentral:lncRNA from 1 species
GGGGUUGGGAGUCAGACCAAGGACAAGGUUUACGAUGGAGCCGAAGAAGCCACCCGCGGUGGCUCCAAUGUCAAAAACAGAUUCGAGGAGCAUGAACAAGGAGCUGACUACCGCGGGAGGGGAGAUUGAGAUGUUUAAUAAUUAGUUUCAUAUAUACUCGGAGAUCUGAGAUUUUGAAUAAGUUGAUGAAGUAUGUGCAAUUCAUCAAAGAUGUAAAAUUCUUCUCCGUUUAGUUUCUUGUUUUGAUGCUGAGUUUUGGUAUGAUCAAGUUGAUGACAUUGGGAUAUAAUUACAGUUCUAUAAUAUUUAUGUGGGUUCAUAAAAUUCAUUCAUAUUGGCUUUAUAAUAUAUCUGUGAUUGCAUCAUAAAAAUUGUUGCAAAGAAAUAACCGAAGCUGCACGAAUGUAAUUUACGAACAAGCAUUUUAUUAUCAGAGUAAUUUAUGACAAAUUUCUAAAACAUGCCAUGCUGUCUAUAUCAUCAUCCGGAUUCCUGAUCAAAUAUGGAAAAGGAUGAGAACCAAAAAAUGGAAUAAAAUAUGUACGUACACAUUUGACUCCAGCACAAAUCACAACUAGCACGGGCCUAUUAAAAAGUCCUGAAAAUAUUUGCUCCGUGUCGGUGGUGCUUGAAUAAAUUAUAUUUCCCUUCGUAAGAACCUGGGCCUAAUUAACUCAGCAGUAGAGCGGAAAGAGCCCGAUAUGAACGGCAAUGAGUUGGUCUAUUUCCACCUCUCAAAAUUCUUCAUAAAACUCCUUUCUUAUUAAAAUUACAUAAAACACCUGAAAAUUAAUUAAUUAAUUAUUUUUUAUUUUAAAUAAAAAUUUAAUUAAUAUAUUCUUUCAACAAAAUUUCUACACCUAUUCUAUUUCAUGAUUUUUUAUUGAUGUUUUAAAAUUAUAGCUAAAAAAAUAUUUUUUAAAGAAUAUUAUAAGAAUUUUGAGUUAUGGAAAUAUAAGUAAUAUAAAUAUAUAUAUAUAUAUAUAUAUAUAUAUGUAUUUUAUAAUAAAUAAUUAAAAAAAUUUAAGGUGAAAUUUGGUAAAAAUAUGGUUACUUUUUUUUAUAAAUAUAUUUGAUAAAUUAAACUGAGAUUUUUUGGAAAAUAAAAGUUAUAAGGAUUUUAUAGGGUGUUAAAAUUCCGCCCAAUGGGAGUACAUGCUUGAGCCCAACAAAGGCCCACUAAAAACAUACAGCAGUCAACAAACAAAACCUGGCUUGGCUUCUUCUCCUACUCCUGCUUCGUUUCUUCUCAAUUUUUCUCACUUAUCUAACAGACCGCUAUCAAUUAGCGGCCGCCGCAGCAAGCCGCUGGUAGCAGUCACUUGGUUGCCCAAAUUGUCGGUUUUCUCGCUCUUCGCAGUAAAGUUUUUUAUUUGAAAUUAAAAUUUACUCUCUGAACGUUAUUAUCAUUUUGAAUUUUUAUCGGCUUAGUACCAUUAAUUGUAUCGCUAUCAUUACUGAAAAUAUCGAAGAGCAGAGAAAAACAUUUGCUUUUAUAUCUGAUUGAAAGCUUCAAUUUGUGGUGACAAUUCUUUUUCUUACUAUAUGUGAUGUAGGGGACCUGCGUUUUGAUUUUGUUUUCAAUUGGAACUUACUAUUAUGAGCUCCAUGUUCGCAGUAGUUUAAAAACUUUUCGACAAAGGCUUCGAAACUCAGUUCUCGGUCACUGUAAGUUUUCAACUCUCUCAAUAUACUGAUGCGCAAAUAAUUGGGUUUCCAUCUCGAACUUUACACGUAUGUUUGAUUUACCUUUUGAAUCUCAUGAUGGCCAUUUUAUUCUCUACAGAAUUUUUGUUUUCUGAAAGCUUGAGUAUGAAUGUACGGAGUACGAAUCAACCCUUGAUUUGUUUUUCACCCAGAAUAAUUAUUAUUAUUAUUUUUUUUUUUUUGAGUUACUAGCAGAUAAAGGGGUCUUUGUCUCUGAAAUUUGAAUAUUUUUUAUAGAUGGGCUAGUGAAUUUUGGUUAUUACUAAUGUGUUUGAUGAAAUACCUGUGAGAAAUUAGUCUUAUCAUGUAACACAUCUACAAUCUGUUUGGCCAGGAAGAUGUUUACAGGGAGGGAAAUAGUGUGGAAUUUUAUAAUUUUUGAGACCCGGUAAUAGCAUGAACUUUUCUAUGUUCUUAACUGAGGACUAUUGCUGGAACCUACAGCAUAGGAUUGGAAAUUUUUAUUGCAAAAUUGAGUAUGAAGAUUGAAUUAAUUAGAAAACUCUUUACAUUGGACUUUAGGAUUUAGAGGCAUGCUAGUGAGUAGAUGUUUCCAAUUUCAAUGUUUUGAAAUUUUAGAGAAGAAUUUGUGAGCAAAUAGACCAGAUGCCAAUACUAAUAUGUUGGAAAGUUCUUGUAUUAAUGUGUCACUAUAAAAUCAUCUGCCAUGUAUAUACUCUUGAUAGGCCAGUUUGGAUAUCUUCUGUAUUAACCUCAAGAUUGAUUUAUGCAUUAAAAAUAGAUUAGAUAUCAUAGGUUUUGGAUGUAUUCCAUUGUUUUGUUAUGAGAAUUGAGGUUUACCUGUUGGCUGAAUGUCUACAUUGACAAUUGUUGACUGUAGCUAUCUACUUUGGAUAAGCAAAGGUAAACCUAAUUUUCAUAAAAUCCACGCGCGUCAGUUAGAAUGAGACUGGAUGGAACAAACAUUUCAUGAAGCAUCUUAAAAUUAUUCACCAAGAAAUAAACAUAAUAUUUUCUUGAUGCAUCUUAGUAGUUAUUUAUUUUUCUGCUACAUGCUUACAUGUGCCGCCACAGAUCACGUGGAAACACUUACUCGAAAUCUCACUUAUCAGAUUCCGUUGUGGAAGACACCAUUUUUUCUGAAGAAUUGGCCUCUAUCUGAUCCAUUCAUAAUAUCAUGAAAAAUGGAUACAAAUUUUUGACUGCUACUUAGUACCAGUAAUAGGUCUCAAAAAGUAUUUAAAAAUACCAAAUUUAGAUAUUUGUACCUUGUCGAAGUAAGGAACCAUGGCAUAUAUGUUUGGAAUCGAUUCCAUUUUGAGAGAGUUGAAAAAGCACUGUCUUGUUGAAAGGUUCUAGACAUCUGCCUUUCUUAACGCAUUUCUUUAGGCAAAGAGUCAAAGACUCCAUGUUUCCUCUUUCUCUUUUCAGAUGGUAAAUAUUUCUUAGAAUGUGGAGUGUGAAUCAAACCCAUAUUUGAAUUGAAAUUGAGAUACUGACGCAAGUUCUUCUCGUCUGAAUUAGAUCGAUUCAUAUCCGAAAGAAGUUGACAAUGAAAUAUUUAGUGCUUUCAGCCGAAUGUGAACUGAAACAUUUAUCCAAUCCAAUUCUAUGGGUUAUUGAGUACCUCUGAUAUGAGCCUAUGUCUUGUGUAGUUCCUAUUGUUUUUGCCCCUUAUUGAGAAAGUGCUAUAGCAUUUCAAAAGAAAAACCUCCAGCUGUGCCAUUUAACAUCAAUAGACUCCCUUCACACUGUUUUCUUCUUUAACAUGGUUCACAUUUAAUGUGUUUCAGCAGUUUUUAAUUUAUUUUUUAGCAAUAUAUUUAAAUAAAUAACAUUGUGUUUAUUUAUCUAAUAAUUGAUCACUGCAUAUACAUUGGUAAAACAAUUAUCCUCAUUCCAUUGUUGUUUAGAUACAAAACUUUUUUAAAAUCUGAAUUUCUGUUUAAAGUUCUUUUCAUAAGCUUCUUUCUAAUUUGCAGAUUUGGAGAAAAUGAAGAAAGGACUGCACCCUCAGAUGCAAUGGAUAUCCUAUGUGACUCAGAGUGGCAGACUGAUGCAUGUUAUGAUGACAAAAAUACACAAUGUUGGCAAAGUUUACCAUUUUAGGGCCAGGCGCCAAAUGGCUCAGAGUAUUGGACAAGUUGCCAAGUUCAGGCGACGUUAUGAACAGCAGGAGGAUGCAGAAAACAAUGAAAAAUGAGGCAUCUAGAACACAUAGAGAAGUCAGUUAUGUGUUGCUGGAUUUGAAUUCCUUUUAAGAAAUAAGCAUGAACAUUGUGCUCUAAAUUCUGAAGCAAAGUUUGUUUUUCUACUCCCUUAAGGCUUCAAUAUUAAGUACACAUUUCCAUUUUGAUGAUUCGGGUGAUGUCAACGAUAGAAACGGUGUCGUUUUGGGGCUAGUAACAUUCGUCUCGCGAAGCUGUGCUUCAAGAGCCGAGAUCCGGCUCUCAAUAUCACUCUUAGCAGCCUUUAAGGUUUCAAUUUCGCCGAGGACUCUUGCCACGUCAGCAUUACCUCCGUUUGUCACCAUAUUCUAAACAACCGGAGACGUCCAGCGAAGACUGUGAAGUGGAGUAAGAGGGAAAGCGGCAAUUAGAGGAACCCUAAUCAUACCGAAAAGUGACAAAUUCGAAGAAUGAUACCGUUGAACUGGAAACAUGAAAAAAAUAACCUUAACACCUCCUAAUUUCAGACUCCUAACGCAAGAUGGGGGGAAAAAUAGAAAGACGAAAUUACCCUUGAAGGAGAUUCCAGACGUGUGCGAUGUAAUUGCUCUCACAAAUCACAACCCGCCAGGGUUGAUCCCCAUGUUUCCGAACGAAAAUGAAAUGGCAAAUGCAUAAACAGCCACGUGUCUGUUCACUCUCGGACUGAUAUGAACUGCGCGGGUCCCUAUGAAAUAUCCAUAAUCCAUCCAAAGUCUCAUCCUUUUCUUUGGGCAAAGUUAAACCAUCCAUCCGAUCAGUCGCAAGGGGCGUACUCACAAAUCCAAUACUAACAAUAAACGAUGUCGUUAGUGUCGCAAAUGAGAGGCUUGAUCUUCCUUUACUUCAAAUCUUCACGACCGUCUUCUAGCAAGCCUUUGACGGCAUAUCUCUACAAGCCCUUCAAGGUACGCACACACGCAUGGAACAUAAAUGAUCGCAGUUGAUUAGUUAACUAUCAGAUUAAUUUUUGAUCUUAUUGUUUUUUUUUUGGGGUUCGUGUCUAUUACGUUAUUUUGACAUAAUUAAAUAAAUGAAUAUUGUGUCAUAUCAGAGGUACGGUAGCGAAGGAGCAAGCAAUAAAGAUCAAAAUAUAAGUAGUCUUCAUCCUGAGAGGCAUGGGAGAGCGCCGUCAAUAGCUGAAGAGUUCGAGAGAGUUGCAGAGGAAAAGCUUCGAGCUGCGGGUCAAGGGGUUGGGAGUCAGACGAAGGACAAGGUUUACGAUGGAGCCGAAGAAGCCACCCGCGGUGGCUCCAAUGUUGAUUCUGUCAAAAACAGAUUCGAGGAGCAUGAACAAGGAGCUGAUUACCGCGGGAGGGGAGAUUGAGAUGUUUAAUAAUUAGUUUCAGAUUCUGUGAUUUUGAAUAAGUUGAUGGAGUAUGUGCAAGUCAUCAAAAACGUAAAAUUCUUCUCUAUUUCGUUUCUUGUUUUGAUGCUGAGUUUUGGUAUGAUCAAGUUGAUGACAUUGGGAUAAAAUUACGGUUUUGUAAUAUUUUUGUGGGUUCAUUAAUUCAUAUUGGCUUUAUAAUAUAUCUGUGAUUGCAUCUUAAAAAUUGUUGCAAAGAAAUAACUGAAG